rnacentral:rRNA from 1 species
CCUACGGGAGGCAGCAGUGAGGAAUAUUGGUCAAUGGGCGCGAGCCUGAACCAGCCAAGUAGCGUGAAGGAUGACUGCCCUACGGGUUGUAAACUUCUUUUAUAAAGGAAUAAAGUGAGGCACGUGUGCCUUUUUGUAUGUACUUUAUGAAUAAGGAUCGGCUAACUCCGUGCCAGCAGCCGCGGUAAUACGGAGGAUCCUAGGGUUAUUCGGAUUUAUUGGGUUUAAAGGGAGCGUAGAUGGGUUGUUAAGUCAGUUGGGAAAGUUUGGGGCUCAACGGUAAAAUUGCAAUUGAUACUGGCAGUCUUGAGUACAGUAGAGGGAGGCGGAAUUAGUGGUGUAGCGGUGAAAUGCUGAGAUAUCACGAAGAACCCCGAUUGCGAAGGCAGCUUACUAAACUGUGACUGACAUUGAUGCUCGAAAGUGUGGGUAUCAAACAGGAUUAGAUACCCGGGUAGUC